rnacentral:rRNA from 1 species
GAGUUUGAUCGUGGCUCAGAACGAACGCUGGCGGCGUGCCUAACACAUGCAAGUCGAGCGCGAAUGGAGCAAUCCUAGUAGAGCGGCGCACGGGUGCGUAACACGUGGGUAAUCUGCCUGGAAGCCCGGGAUAACCAUCCGAAAGGAUGGCUAAUACCGGAUAAGACCACGGACUCUUCGGAGUCUGAGGGAAAAGGUGGCCUCUGUAUACAAGCUAUCACUUCUAGAUGAGCCCGCGGCCCAUCAGCUAGUUGGCGGGGUAAUGGCCCACCAAGGCGACGACGGGUAGCUGGUCUGAGAGGACGAUCAGCCACACUGGAACUGAGACACGGUCCAGACUCCUACGGGAGGCAGCAGUGGGGAAUUUUGCGCAAUGGGCGAAAGCCUGACGCAGCAACGCCGCGUGUGUGAUGAAGGUCUUCGGAUUGUAAAGCACUUUCGACCGGGACGAAAACCCGUUGGCUAACAUCCAGCGGCUUGACGGUACCGGGAGAAGAAGCACCGGCUAACUCUGU